UACGUAGGGGGCUAGCGUUGUUCGGAUUUACUGGGCGUAAAGGGCGCGUAGGCGGUCGUGACAAGUCACUUGUGAAAUCUCCGGGCUUAACUCGGAAAGGUCAAGUGAUACUGUCGGACUAGAGUACAGAAGGGGCAACUGGAAUUCUCGGUGUAGCGGUGAAAUGCGUAGAUAUCGGGAGGAACACCAGUGGCGAAGGCGGCACUCUGGGCCGGUACUGACGCUGAGACGCGAAAGCGUGGGGAGCGAACAGG
rnacentral:rRNA from 1 species